AUGACAGCAAAAUGUGAAGUGCAGCAGUUAAGUGGUUCUCUUAAAGUGAGUGCAGUGCUGUCACAAAAAGGUGAUAAAUGCUGCUGCUGCGGAAAAAUUAAUCAUACUGAUGAUGACUGCUGGUACAAAGACUGUGACUGUCACCAGUGUGGGAGGAAGGGCCACACGAAACGCAUGUAUAAAGGUAGAGACAGAAGCAGCCAAGAGUGGAACAGGAAAGAGAAAGAGGGAAAACCUGAACUGAAAGGCAAUGCAGUUAAAAACAGAGGAAAGGACAAAAAGAGGAGAGUUCACCAUGUUGCUGCAGAGGAAAGUGAAAGUGAAGGAACCAGACCUGACACUGAUAGUGAGUUGGAACUGUAUUCUUUGUCUCGAAAAGAGAAAUAUUCACAUAUCUCCCUAAUGCCUGUAGUGAACGUGAAGAAAAUGGAGAUGGAGCUGGAUACAGGGGCUGCUGUGUCUUUGAUCCCAUGGGAACAGUACAAAAGUAUGCUGAGUCAGUUGCCGCUGCAACCCACUGACAUCAUGCUCAAAACAUACACUGGGGAGCCGCUGGCACCAGAAGGGGUCAUCAAGGUGCAAGUUGAACUGAACAAGCAAUGUGCAACACUACCCUUGUACGUGGUAAAGGUGGAUGCCCCACCACUGUUUGGUAGGGAGUGGUUGAGAGUUAUCAAGCUGAACUGGAAAGACUUAAAGAUGGUUCAUGCCAGAGAGCAAAGUGGAAAUGACUAUCUGGAGGCUGUGUUAAAGAAACACUCAGCUGUUUUCUCUAAGGAGCUAGGCACAAUGAAGGGAAUUAAAGCCAGACUGACUCUUAGGCCUGAUAGUGUACUCAAAUUCUGUCCACCACGUAACGUGCCUUAUGCUCUCCGCCCUCGGGUGGAGGCUGAACUGAAAUGCCUGACUGAGCUUGGGGUGAUCACACCAGUGGAGCAUAGUGAUUGGGCUACGCCCGUGGUCCCUGUCAACAAGAAGGAUGGCUCUGUGAGACUGUGUGGCGAUUUCAAGGUCACUCUCAAUUCGCAGCUCUGUGUGGAUAAGUACCCACUUCCAUGCAUUGAGGACCUGUUUGCUUCCCUAGCAGGGGGUCAGGAUUUCAGUAAGCUGGACUUAGCAAAUGCCUAUCUACAGAUGGAGGUAGAAGAGGAGUCUAAGGCUACAUCCACACUAAUAUUUUCUCUCCGUUUUGGCCUCCCGUCCACACUGAGACAGUGUUUUCCUCAAGGAAAAACGCAGCGUUUUGGAAACACUCUCGAAAACGCAUACAUUUCAAAACGGAGCUGUCCCGUCGCAGUGUGGAUGCUCGAAAACGCAGACUUUCUAAAACGAUGA
rnacentral:lncRNA from 1 species